GGGGAAUUUUGGACAAUGGGGGCAACCCUGAUCCAGCAAUGCCGCGUGAGUGAAGAAGGCCUUCGGGUUGUAAAGCUCUUUUGUCAGGGAAGAAAAGGCUGUGGCUAAUACCCACAGCUGCUGACGGUACCUGAAGAAUAAGCACCGGCUAACUACGUGCCGGCAGCCGCGGUAAUACGUAGGGUGCGAGCGUUAAUCGGAAUUACUGGGCGUAAAGCGUGCGCAGGCGGUCCGUUGUGUCCUGUGUGAAAUCCCCGGGCUUAACCUGGGAAUUGCAUGGGAAACUGGCGGGCUUGAGUGUGGCAGAGGAGGGUGGAAUUCCGCGUGUAGCAGUGAAAUGCGUAGAGAUGCGGAGGAACACCGAUGGCGAAGGCAGCCCUCUGGGCCAACACUGACGCUCAGGCACGAAAGCGUGGGGAGCAAAC
rnacentral:rRNA from 1 species